GCCUUGUGUAGUUCAGGAAAAGGCAACAUUCGAGCAGGAAAGCAGGGAUAGAAGUUCUCAUUUUGGGACCUGGUUUCAGGCUUUUCAGCUUGAGGGUGGGGUUUUUGCCAGGGACCCGGCCUUUCUUGCCUAGAAUUUCUGUCUCUUGUCCCUAUCACUAGCAUAAAGAGAAAGGGAGCAGAGGUAAGAGCAGCUCCAUUUUGAAAAAUGGAAAGCAAAGGGAUGAGUGGUAACUGUCUUAGCAGCCCUGAGAACAAUGAGUUAUGGUUGGCAGUGAGAGAAUCUCGAAAGCAGCCCGACUGGCACUGCACAUCCCCACAAAGCUCAGGAAUGGGUAUAUCCAGAUUAUUCUGGAAGUGACUGUGAAGGUAAAGCUAGAAAAAAGAUUGUAGAAAGUCAGUCUAAGAACUCGUUAAACUGCCAGAUUCUUUCCCCAACCAUGGCAGAAGGCAGGUGAUUCAUUCUCAAGAGAGAGUAGAACACAGAGUCUCUUGGCUGAAGGCACCAGGUACAGUUGAAGGAAGAAGUCUUGUACGAAAAAUAUGUGCUCAAGUAAUACACAUAUCGAAUGCUGAGAUCCUCAACCUUUUUUUUCCCCACUUGGCCCCCCAGAAUGUGGCAAGGAAGAGUAUGCCCUUCAGACAGAAAAGUAGAAGCCGCCUCUUUGAGAAAUGUAACAGAUCCAAGAGAAAAGACCUAAAGACACUAACAUUGACGGCUACCCAAAGAAAUCUAUUUGGAUUCCAGUAAAGCUCCUCCAGUGAAAGCACAUGUAUAUUACAGUGCACAUCUAUCAGCAUCUUCCAUGAGAUCAGGAUAUUUCUGAAGCCCUAUUGGUUAUACCACUGUAAGAGCCUGGGACUACAACAGAGUGCAUUUUCCUGGAGGGCCAACUUACUUAGUGAUGGAAGGGAAAAUGGAACUAGCAACGAAAUUUAAUGAAAUCUCAGGAUGCCCAAGAUCACUAAGGCUAUGUAACAUUGAAUGAAAGGACAUAUUUCCAGAUUGAAUGAACUCCACCAACUACUCAGCAUCCCACAUUAAAGCAGACUCAUGCAGAAUACAUACAUCAUCAUGAAAUUUCGGAACACUGGGAACAUGCAGACCCUAGAAGCAUCAUGAUUUUUUUAAAAACUCACAUACAAAGGAUUGAAAAUCGGAAUAUUGUCAGACUUCUAACAGCAAGUUAAACUGUAGAACAAUGGAGCAAUGUCUUCAAAGUUCUCAGAGAAGAUUGUUUCCAACCUCUAAUCUGUACACUAACAACUAAUAAAGUGUGAAGUUAGAACAAGGACAGUUUCAGGCAAGCAAGAUCUCAUCAAAUUUACAUUCUAUGCGUCAUUUCUCAGAAAGCUAGAGGAGGAUGUGUUCACUAAGUAAAGAGUAAACUAAGAAAGGGCAAGAUAUGGAAUCCAAGGAACAGGGACCUCACUCAAGAGAGUCAAAGGGAAUUCCUUGGAUGACAGCAAAAGAAGAUUCCCGCGGCAACAGCUGUGUUGCAUCCUUGAAUGUGACUGACCCAGAUUGAAGAGGAGGACAGAACCUCCAGGAGGAAAUGAAGAAGUAAUAUGUAUAAAAUUGACAUAAUCUUCAAUAUGUUUGAUGUUUUCAGUGGAGAUUACAAUUCUGUAAUAAAAUUUAGAAUGCAUUAAUUAAAACUAUCAAAUGGGAAAAAAUAAGAUCGUUAUUAAUUCCAGGGAAAAUAUAACAUUAUACAAGAAAGGAAUAUAAUUAACAAAGUACUUGCCUCAGAUAAAUAAUUUUUGCAUAGACAAAUUAAUGUAAGCCCAAAUACUAAUCUAUCUGAAAAUAUGGUGAGGUGGUUUGGCUGUGUCCCCACUCAAAUCUCAUCUUGAAUUGUAGCUCCCAUAAUUCCCAUGUGUCAUGGAAGGGACCCAGUAGGCGGUAA